rnacentral:rRNA from 1 species
AAACAUUGCCUUAUGUCAAACCUAUAUAAGGUAAUUCCUGCCCGGUGACAAAGUUCAACGGCCGCGGUAUCCUAACCGUGCAAAGGUAGCAUAAUCACUUGCCUAUUAAUUGUAGGCUAGAAUGAAUGGAUAAACGAAAUAAAGUCUGUCUCAAUCAGCCACCUAAAAAUUAUUCUCUAUAUGAAGAAAUAUAGAUAAAAUCGAAGGACAAGAAGACCCUAUAGAGCUUUAUUUUAACAAAGAAUCACACUUUCAACAAAAUUCGGUUGGGGCGACCAGGGGAAUUAACGAACACCCCCUAAUAAAAAGAUCUAUUAAUCACAAUAAUGACCCUUAUAAGAUCACAAGAACAAGCUACCUUAGGGAUAACAGGCUAAUCCUAUUAGAGAGUCCUUAUCAACAAUAGGGGUUGGCACCUCGAUGUUGGCUUAGGGUAUCAAUAUGGCGCAAAAGUUAUAUUAUGAUGGUUUGUUCAACCAACAACUCCCUACGUGAUCU